UACGUAGGUGGCGAGCGUUGUCCGGAUUUACUGGGCGUAAAGGGAGCGUAGGCGGACUUUUAAGUGAGAUGUGAAAUACCCGGGCUCAACUUGGGUGCUGCAUUUCAAACUGGAAGUCUAGAGUGCAGGAGAGGAGAAUGGAAUUCCUAGUGUAGCGGUGAAAUGCGUAGAGAUUAGGAAGAACACCAGUGGCGAAGGCGAUUCUCUGGACUGUAACUGACGCUGAGGCUCGAAAGCGUGGGGAUCAAACAGGAUUAGAUACCCCGGUAGU
rnacentral:rRNA from 1 species